rnacentral:lncRNA from 1 species
CGGAAUUUUAGCUGCAUCAACAAAAUUAUAUGAAUAAUCAGUCUUUGAUCUGUAAAUUUGUUGUUCGUAGCUUUAUUUUUAAUUCAUUAAUCAGUUUGUUGUUAAAGUUUCAAAAGUCACAAGUCUGUCCAAGUCUUACAAAGGCUUUUAGUCUUCUAUCUUUGAUAUUCCAACUAUCCAACAUAUCAUAAUUUAUAACAACAAUAUUGCGAGAUAUGUUUGUCUUGUAAUGAGGCCAAAUCUUGUUCAAUUCAAUCAUUUGAAAUUGUGAUUUUAAAUAAUCGUCACUCAAAAUGACUAAAUAUGAACUUGAGUCAGCUAUUUCGGUCGAAAUUUGAUCGACGACAUGCACACUGCCUACAUCGAAAUCUCUUGGAGGAAAACAACUUUUGAAGCCAUUUUGUUCAAGAUUGAAAACGACUGUCUUGAUCCAUUUCAUUAAAUUGUCAUUUUCUGCAUUGAACGAAAUAUACACGUAAUAUUCAGUUUGUUGACUAUCGUUGAUACUGUUUCUAUUGAGGUACUGACUUUUGAAAUUCCUUAAAAGUAGAAACAGUUCGUAUUUCAUUUUCAAGCAUAGCAGUAAUGAUACAAAUAUAGAUAUCAUGAAGCUAAGUACUACAUAUUUAACUGUUGAUUUCGGUUUUACAAAGGAACACAUCUCAGAAAUGGAACUCGCUUGAAUAUCUCUACCUCGUAUAUGACAGUGAAUGGAGUUAUUUACUCCAUGUCUUCUGUGAUGAUUUUCUAGCCAUGAUCCAAUCCACUUCAUUUUAAAAAGAACACUUGAUUGAUAUACGUCCAAACGAUAUUGUGUGGUCAUUUGUCAUUAACAGUACGUUCUUAUGAAUCUGAACUAUUUUAUUGUGCUGAAGAUUAAUAUUCCGUAGUUUCAUGAUUCCAUAAACAAAUGGAUCUACACUUGGUAUUCUAUUAUUAGACAAAUUAAUUGAAAAUGUUCUAUUCAGAAAAGUACGGUAUUCAAAAACGGAUAUUAA